GAUUUUUGACAGAGAGAAACAUUCCAGAGGGCUUCUCCAGACAAUCCCACUGAGUCUUUCAGCUUCUGCAUUUGGACUGGACUGCUGGUAUCCUGAAGACUGAGUCUGCACCCAGAAUGUUCUUUUCCAACACCCAUGGUACCCAUCAAAGCCUGUGAACAAGCUGGUUUGCCAGAACAGAAGAAAAAGCACCUUCUGGUAUUUUGCCUGCUUGUCUGUACACCAUGUGUGUGCCUGGUAUCUCUGAAGAUCAGAAGAGGUCAUUGGAGUCCCUGGAACUGGAGUCAGAAGUGGAUGUGAGCCUCCGUGUGGAAGUGGAACAGUGGUCCUCUGCAGGAGCAUCAAGUGCUCCUAACCACUGAGCAGAUUUCUCUUCAUUUUGUUUGAGGUCCUUUCGGUCUGUGGGUUUCUUCCAUAGACUUGUGCCUGUUGUCACAUUAAAGAGCUUCGAAAUCAUCA